UCAUGUACUUUGUCCUUGGUAUGUUUGCAGAGAGUAAUCACAUCCCUUUCCAUGUCUUUUGACACUGAGCCAGCAUCUGAAAAUUUAAGGUCAUUAUGGGGUGGCAAAAACUCACCCAGACAUUCAUGCUUAAACCAGGCAUUCAUGUUUAAUCCACACAGUGGAUAGGGCAUCUGCCUGGAGUCAUCCUGACUCUGACUGCAUCAUUUUGUCUCUUAGGGACUGAAUCCUGACUGAACACCAGCGAUGCUAAUUUUGCGAAGUUCUAUUUAUUUAUUGGCCAUAUCCCUCCUGCAUAGCAUUGCCUGGGAUUCCCUGAUACAGAAAGCAGCUCUGUGUAAGAGCACAGGCUCUACAUGAUCCACGGAAAACAACAGUCCCACUUGCUGACAAGGGAGUGAAAGUAACGUAGAUGCUGCAUUGACUUAUAAAUGCAAAGGAAGAUGGCGCUAAGCUGGAAGAGUCUGAUGGAACCUUGGACGUUUGAACAGCUCCAGGAGAUGGAGAUUAAUUUCCUAUAUAAACUUAUCUUCCUGCUCAUUUCUGAAGAAGUCAGUACACUAAAUUCCCGAAAUAUAGUCUGAGCCUACACAGACAUCAAGAUCCUAGUAACUGGAACAUAUUGUUUAAGUCAGUGGGAAUUCUGGAAGUCUCUUCACACCCAAAAUCACUCAUUGAUACUCUAUUUUGCAGCACUUGGCCAUGCAAAGUGAUGCUCCCAAACAGGGCAUUGGAGGAGACUCAGCUCAGCAAAGCUGCAGGUAGAGCAGAACUCGUUGCCACUGUUUUCCAUAUGUUCCUCUCUAUGGGGGCCUGACUGGACCUCGACCUGAGGAAUACGCAGAAUGGAAACUUAAUGGAGAAGCAAGCCCCACCUCCAGGACUUUUUGUCAGAAGCAUGGCAAGGAACUUCAGUUUGGCUUUCAAAAGUGCUGAACACCCA